rnacentral:rRNA from 1 species
UACGGAGGGUGCGAGCGUUGUUCGGAAUCACUGGGCGUAAAGGGCGCGUAGGCGGCCCGCUAAGUCGAACGUGAAAUCCCCAGGCUCAACCUGGGAACUGCGUCCGAUACUGGCAGGCUUGAAUCCGGGAGAGGGAUGUGGAAUUCCAGGUGUAGCGGUGAAAUUCGUAGAUAUCGGGAGGAACACCGGUGGCGAAGGCGGCGACCUGGGUCGAGACUGACGCUGAUGCGCGAAAGCGUGGGGAGCAAACAGG